rnacentral:rRNA from 1 species
AGGGGGCAACCCCUUGAGAGUGGCGAACGGGUGAGCUAAUAUAUCGGAACGUGCCCAGUCGUGGGGGAUAACGUAGCGAAAGUUACGCUAAUACCGCAUACGAUCUAAGGAUGAAAGCGGGGGAUCGCAAGACCUCGCGCGACUGGAGCGGCCGAUAUCAGAUUAGGUAGUUGGUAGGGUAAAGGCCUACCAAGCCAACGAUCUGUAGCUGGUCUGAGGGGACGACCAGCCACACUGGAACUGAGACACGGUCCAGACUCCUACGGGAGGCAGCAGUGGGGAAUUUUGGACAAUGGGCGAAAGCCUGAUCCAGCCAUUCCGCGUGCAGGAUGAAGGCCCUCGGGUUGUAAACUGCUUUUGUACAGAACGAAAAGGUUUCUAUUAAUACUAGGAGCUCAUGACGGUACUGUAAGAAUAAGCACCGGCUAACUACGUGCCAGCAGCCGCGGUAAUACGUAGGGUGCAAGCGUUAAUCGGAAUUACUGGGCGUAAAGCGUGCGCAGGCGGUUAUAUAAGUCAGAUGUGAAAUCCCCGGGCUCAACCUGGGAACUGCAUUUGAGACUGUAUAGCUAGAGUACGGUAGAGGGGGAUGGAAUUCCGCGUGUAGCAGUGAAAUGCGUAGAUAUGCGGAGGAACACCGAUGGCGAAGGCAAUCCCCUGGACCUGUACUGACGCUCAUGCACGAAAGCGUGGGGAGCAAACAGGAUUAGAUACCCUGGUAGUCCACGCCCUAAACGAUGUCAACUGGUUGUUGGGUCUUAACUGACUC